rnacentral:misc_RNA from 1 species
GUGAGUCAUCGAAUCUUUGAACGCACAUUGCGCCUUUUGGUAUUCCGAGAGGCACGUCUGUUUGAGCGUCAGCAAAACCCUCCGGCCCUCGGUUUAUUUCGGGAAGCUCGGGCAUACUGGCGCGGGGACUGGCCGCCGCGCUUCGGUGCGGGCGGGCCUUCCCCCGCUUAAAGGUGUGGAAGCUAGCGGGGUGUGCCCCGGAUUGCGACGACUCGUAAGCUUUUUACUGUCGAAGGUAAUCCGGACACCCAUGCCUUGUAACACUGGCUGUUUACGGCCUUGAACCCUUGACCUCAGAUCAGACGAGGAUACCCGCUGAACUUAAGCAUAUCAAUAAGCGGAGGA